CUGCGGGAGACACUGGCUACGGGCCAGGGCCGAAGGCGCAACCGCCCCGGAAACGCUCAGGCAAAAGGACCGCAGAC
rnacentral:ncRNA from 1 species